rnacentral:tRNA from 1 species
GGGGUUGUGGCUCAGAGGUAGAGAGCACUUGCCUAGCAUGCGUGAGGCACUGAGUUUGAUCCUCAGCACCACA